GUUAUAUGAUAGGAGCUCUCUCUCUCCAUCUCUGAAAGGAGGUGAAGGUGUGUGGCACGGCUUCUAGUUCAUGGAAUAUCCAGUGGGUGCGGUUAUGGUGCGAGUGGGCGCACCCUCAGGGUUUGCAUGUGCUUGAAGACGUGGUUACCUUUCUUCUUUUUGGCAUUGGGGUGAAGGGAGCUCCUCUUGUCUUUCCU
rnacentral:pre_miRNA from 1 species